GAGUAAUAUACUUAAUAAUGGUAAAAGUAAAAAUCCCAAAAAAAAUAUUCACACCUUGUUACCACUAGGAACCAAACAAGAAAAAACAAUAGUACAUAUUUUCCUCCAUUUUAAUCAAGUUUUUGAUAAUAAGAGCUAGUUAAAUUUUGUUUUAGAGCCUUAAAAGGAAAAAAAAUACUAAUCCUUUCAAGUUAAUGCUAUUAUGGUGUAUUGGUGUGUCAUGUUACUCAUGUCUGUUAAUUGUACAAGUAUAAAUUAAAUGCCCAAAUUAUUGGGAGAUUUAUGCCGGAAAAUCCCUGCAAUUUUCCGGCGCUUGCAUCUUGAUUCCUACUACAAGACUGACACUUCUGAGCUUAUCUUCUUAAACAAUCGUGCUAUAGACAAUCACAUCAGAUCAGGGUCUUUAGCCUCUGCCCACCAACUGUUUGAUGAAAUGUCUCUUAGAGAUGUUGUUUCUUGGAACUUGCUGAUUUCUGGGUACAAAUGCUAUGGAAUGCCAGGGAAAGCUUUUGAAUUGUAUUCUGAAAUGGUAUUUCAGGGUUUUAGUGAAAGCCCAUCAACAUUUUCCUCUGUUAUGAGCAUUUGUAGCAAUAAUAGGUUUUAUUAUGAGGGAAUUCAAGUACAUUGUAGAGUGAUUUCACUUGGGUUUUGUGGGAAUUUGUAUAUUGGGGGUUCAAUUGUGGACCUUUAUAUGCAAUCAGGGUUUGUUGAUGAUGGGUUGAAAUUUUUGGAUGAGAUGCCUGAAAGGAAUGAUGGUGUUUGGAAUUCGGUUUUUCGUGGAUUUUGUAAAUUGGGUUUGUGGAAUGAGGUUAUAAGGCAGUAUUCUAGAGUAAAAUUUGAUGGGGUUGUGUUGAAUGAUCUUAUGGUAUGUUAUUUGCUUCAGGGCUGUUGUAAUGGAAACUUUGUAAUUCAAGGGGAACAGUUGCACUGUCAUGCUCUCAAGGCUGGGCUGGUUGAAUCAAAUCACUUUGUAGCUAAUGCAUUGGUGGAUUUUUACUCAGCUUGUGGGACUCUGAGUGAUGCUAUGAAAUCAUUUGAUGUUCUUCCUUAUAAUGCUGUGAUUUCGUGGAACUCAAUUGUUUCUGCAUAUGCUAAUAGUGGGGUGUUGUUUGAUGCACUUGAAUGUUUUGUGCGGAUGCAGUAUUGGAGUAUGAAACCAUCUGUUCGUUCGCUUGUUGCGCUCUUGAAUUCGUGCAGCAAAAGUGGGAGUCUUGUUGUGGGAAGACAGUUGCAUUGUUUUGCUCUAAAAUUGGGAUUUGAUUGUGGAAGCAUCCAUGUUCAGUCUGCUCUUAUUGAUAUGUAUGGAAAAUGUUACGAGAUUGAGAGUUCAUUUAAUAUAUACGAGGAAUGCUUUUCUGAAACCAGGGAGUGCUGCAAUGCUCUUUUGACAUCUCUGUUACAUUGUACUUGUGCUGAAGAGGUGGUCGAGUUGUUUAAAUUCAUGGUUGAUGAGGGGAUUGAAUUAGAUGAAUUCUCCUUGUCCACUGCACUGAAAGCAUUGUCAGGAUCUUCUUUUGUGAGCUUAACAAGCUGCACAUUGCUUCAUUCUCUUGCUAUAAAAAAUGGAUUAGAGUCUCACAUAGUGAUUUCAUGUUCACUAAUUGAUAUAUAUUCUAAAUUAGGCCAGGUUGAUCAUUCACGCAGGAUAUUUGAGGGUUUACGUUCACCCAAUGUUGUCUCCUUUACAUCAGUUAUAAAUGGGUAUGCCUGGAAUGGAUUAGGAAGAGAGUGCCUAAAAUUGCUCGAAAUGAUGUUCCAAAAGGGUUUGAAACCAGAUAGGGUGACAUUCUUGUGUGUCUUGACAGGGUGUAAUCAUUCAGGUUUAGUAGAGGAAGGAAGACGGGUUUUUGAGUCCAUGAAAUCACCCCAUGGUAUUGAACCAGAUCAGAGGCACUAUUCAUGCAUGGUUGAUCUCUUAGGACGUGCUGGGUUGGUAUAUGAAGCGGAAGAUUUGUUGAAGUUGUCUUUUGUAAAGGAUGCUUCUUUCAUGUGGAGCUCACUGCUGAGAAGUUGCAGGAUGCACAAGAAUGAAGUUGUUGGACAAAGGGUUGCAAAACGUUUGAUGGAGCUUGAACCCGAAAAUUCUGGAGCGUGUCUGCAAGUUUCAAAUUUUUAUCAUGAAGUUGGAGAUUCUGAAUUGUCCAUGCAUUACAGAGAGAUUAGAAUGGCAAGACAGUUGGUUAGGGAGAUUGGUCACAGCUUUAUCGCUUGAAUUGUGAAUAUGAGGUACAUGACAAAAUUGCUAUGCUUGGAGAACUCGAAAGCUUUGACAUAUAUGAAGAAGAUGAAAUAGAAGCUUUUGAAAUGCCUUCAUGGACCAGUACGAAUGCUGGACAUGUUCUUGUGAAUGUCGAUAGCUUUGGUGCUAAUGGAGAUGGGAAUUCUGAUGAUACCCAGGCCUUUGUUAGUGCAUGGAAGCAGGCUUGUUCUUCACAAAAAGCAGUGCUCUUAGUUCCUGAAGGGCGUCGUUAUCUUGUUAACGCAACAAAAUUUG